rnacentral:lncRNA from 1 species
CCCUGCUCAUUAAUAACUUCUUUCUCUCUUUCUUUCUUUCUUAACAUAGAGAUGUAUUUGUGGAUUCCUUCGAGGCGUCCUCCAUUAUAGGAUGCGAGCCCGCAGGUUUAAGGGCAAACGGCCUGGUGGAAAGAAAAUCCCUAGCUCACCAAGGCAAGAGUCGAACCAUGAUCUUGUCAAACCACAGGCUCCUCUUGUGGGUUUACAACUACACAUUAACAAAGAGUGUUCAAAUUGUUGUAUUGAACUCAUAGAUUUGGUCAUUUACUUUGCCAAGUCUAAUAAGGAAUCGCCACUUAAACGGCGGAGAGCUAAAGUUUUCUCGUUUGCAAUGAUCAGUUUUGGUCGUCUACUUAGACGGCGGAUCCAAAAGAGAACAAUUCGAGAUAUUCAUCGUCGGGCUUAUGGAAGGGUUAAUAGCUCCCCUUAAUUCCCUUAAGCUAAAGUACAUUAAAAGCUUUUUUUUUUUUUUUUUUUUUACAAGUAGAAAAUAAGUCACCAAUUGUGGGAUUCAAAAGAUAAUCCUUCCAAACCUUUUCAACCAAAUUUUGUUCACAAUUACACAAGAAGAAAAGGAGAAACAGAAGAGAAUUCCAGCUGUUUAUCACAAAGAUGCAGCAACUUUAUGGUAGCAAUUGUCACAUAGCAUGAAGCAAAGGCGACAUAUUUCAUUUUACCGGAACAACAGAUCAAGAAAUCGUUCUCUUUCGGGCAUUACAGCUCAAUUAAUAGUUCUUGAAAGCUUUGGCUGAAACACGUCCACUUGCUCUUUCCCAAGAAUCAGCCAUAUCAUACACAUGAUUAUUUACAUACAUAUUCAAUUAGUUAAAUGACUGGUUGAUCUUGCACACCAAUUAAUCAUCCAACUCAACAAUAUUUGGUUUGAUCAGAGUCAAGCAAGAGAGCUUAUUCAUGUAUGGCCCCAUGACCCUAAGAACAUCAUAGUUCUUAUAGGGUCCUCUGCCUGAGAGCUCCAAUUUCGUCUUUCGAUUUCUUUUGAAUAUAAGAGAGCACUGUUUCCCUCACCAGCCCCGUUCCGAGCCAUGGUCAUGGAGACAGUAGCCGCAUCAAUAGCCUGCUUGAGCCUCUCUGCAAUUGUUCUCUUCGCNNNNN